rnacentral:rRNA from 1 species
UAGGGAAUCUUCGGCAAUGGACGGAAGUCUGACCGAGCAACGCCGCGUGAGUGAAGAAGGUUUUCGGAUCGUAAAGCUCUGUUGUAAGAGAAGAACGAGUGUGAGAGUGGAAAGUUCACACUGUGACGGUAUCUUACCAGAAAGGGACGGCUAACUACGUGCCAGCAGCCGCGGUAAUACGUAGGUCCCGAGCGUUGUCCGGAUUUAUUGGGCGUAAAGCGAGCGCAGGCGGUUAGAUAAGUCUGAAGUUAAAGGCUGUGGCUUAACCAUAGUACGCUUUGGAAACUGUUUAACUUGAGUGCAAGAGGGGAGAGUGGAAUUCCAUGUGUAGCGGUGAAAUGCGUAGAUAUAUGGAGGAAUACCGAAGGCGAAGGCAGCCCCUUGGGAAUGUACUGACGCUCAUGUGCGAAAGCGUGGGGAGCAAACAGGAUUAGAUACCCUGGUAGUCCACGCUGUAAACGAUGUCGAUUUGGGGAUUGGGCUUUAAGCUUGGUGCCCGUAGCUAACGUGAUAAAUCGACCGCCUGGGGAGUACNGGCGNCAGGG